UACAGAGGUCUCAAGCGUUGUUCGGAUUCAUUGGGCGUAAAGGGUGCGUAGGCGGCGCGGUAAGUCGGGUGUGAAAUCUCGGAGCUUAACUCCGAAACUGCAUUCGAUACUGCCGUGCUUGAGGACUGGAGAGGAGACUGGAAUUUACGGUGUAGCGGUGAAAUGCGUAGAUAUCGUAAGGAAGACCAGUGGCGAAGGCGGGCCUCUGGACAGUUCCUGACGCUGAGGCACGAAGGUCAGGGGAGCAAACGGG
rnacentral:rRNA from 1 species